rnacentral:misc_RNA from 1 species
CGCACCUUGCACUCCUUGGUAUUCCGAGGAGUAUGCCUGUUUGAGUGUCAUUAAAUUCUCAAACCUCGACUUGUUUUCGGACGAGUUGAGGCUUUGGAUGUGGGGGUUGCAGGCUCUUUAGCGAAUCUGCUCUCCUUAAAAGCAUUAGUGGCUACUGUCGUCUCCACUCUAUAGGUGUGAUAACUAUCAUCGCCGACUAGGGAGAUGUGUAAAGUGUAGUUGCUCUCGAACGGUCCAUUCUUAUGGACAAUUUGAACCCUUUGGCCUCAAAUCAGGUAGGACUACCCGCUGAACUUAA